CCCCAGAUGUUGCUGAACUACAACUCCCAUGAUUCUUUCAAUGAAACAGAUAACAUGGAAUCAUGGGAGUUGUAGUUCAGCAACAUCUGGGG